rnacentral:lncRNA from 1 species
UCAAAGCCCCACAUACCUAAAAAUGGAAGAUGAAUAUGAACUUCCGACUCCAAAACUUUAUUCAUGAAAAUAAAGGGUGCUUCUCGAAGCCUUUAACAUGAUCAACUCGAAUCCCAAAUCAAUUUGAAAUUUCUACAGUUCAAUCAAGAGACAUAGAAGGAUGAAAUUUGGAGUAGUAGGGUUGGGGUUUAAGCCUUAUAAAAUAUUGGAGAAAAAUGAUCUAUUGAAUACUCUAAUGGGCUUAAAUCCAUGGUUUACCUAGAUGGAUUGGAGUAGGAAUGACUAAAAUCCCCUUAAAAAUUAAAUAAUGUCAAAUAUAUUCUUUGGUGGACUGUUUUGAUAGGCUGAAUCAGAUUGACCAUAACUUUUUGCUCCGAUAGCCAAAUUGGAUGAAACCAAUUUCAUUGGAAAGAGGACUUCCAGAGCUUUCUGUUGAUAUAUAGUAGCUCACUCAGAUCAUUAUGUACAAGGAGUUAUGAUCGUUUGAAGUUGACCCUAAAUUUCGCCUUGCCUCAGUAUUUUUUUCCUUUCCUGCUGCACACUGCACACUUACUGUUCACCACUAUUCACGGUUAGAUCGGAAUGAUCAUAACUCAUUGCUCGAGUAUCCGUUUUGGAUGAUCCACAUAUCGUUGGAAAGCUUAUUCGAUGCUCUACGCGAUGACAGGUCACAUAUCCAGAAAUUCCACACAGAAAAAUUAUUAAUCACGAUAAAGAACAGAAUUCAACACAUUUUCGUCCGAGAUCUUAACGAAAAUAUUUUUCCGAGGCAUCACAUCGACCAUCGAGUUCCUGCCAGACAUAGCAGAAGCAUAGUAAGUUUAAACAAAAAGGAGAAUGAUGAAACAUAUGUAAAAAGUGUUUGGCAAAGAACAUGUGCGAGCUUAACUAAUAUUAGCAAACCAAAACCAUACACAUUUCUGAUUCUUUUAAUUUAUGAUAAAGUAUGGUGAUAUGUAACCCCUAUCCAACUUCAUCCCUUCAACAACUUCUAAUUAAUUGUCUAGUGUCUUCUCGUCCAGUGUGGUAGUAGAAAUAAGUUAGCUACAAAUCUUUACAAUACCAAGUCUGCCACAAAUUAGUCGAACUGUACCAAAUGGAUACAUAUUGGACUAUGACAAGAAGUUACUGAGCAAUAAAAUAAUUUAUCAAAAUAUAUAUGCUCGAUAUCUAGCCCAAAUUCUCCCAUAUAACCACUAAAAUUGAUAAGGUCUCAAUUAGCAAAAGUAAGCAAAAUAAUCAUCUAUUUCAGUUCCACCCACAUCCCAAGAGCAUAUCGAAACUUGAAGCUUCCUAAUUUUGGACACAUUUUAAGCUUAUAAUAUAAGUUAGGACCAUGGUGACCAAAAGACACAUACAAUCUCCGUAUACGGCAUACAUAGAUAGAUGGACAAUAGAAUUACUAACUUGAAUAGUAAUGACACCCUCCUUGCCUACUCUCUCAAUAGCCCUGGCAAUUAGAUCACCAAUUUCUAUUUCUCCAUUUGCAAAGAUAGUCCCAACCUCUCAAAAGUUACAACAUCAAACUCUUACGAGAAAAAUUGCAUCGCUUGAGUAAAAAAGAAGAUACAUAGAACUCUUCAGUGCAUAGUUAAAUCUUCUUUCCUGGGAGAUUUUUUUACUUUUUGCAUUUUUCCCCUUCUACUAGUAUCUCUUCCCUUUGACUACCUUUUUACUAGUUAUUUUCUAUUCUUUCUCCCUUUUCGGUAUGUGAGGUUGGGAAGGAGUAGUCUUUAGGCCUUCAAGGGAGGGAGGAGGUUGUCUACAAAAGAUAAGAGAUUUGUCCGCACCAAAAAGGCCUAAUAGUACUUUUAAAUCAUACCACUAGACAACAUUGGCAUAAUCAAUUUCCUAAUCAAUGUUAGCAAAGAUAUUAAAUUCCUACGCCAAGUUAACUUUCUGCACAACUACUUAAGCAGUAGCAGCUGCUACUUUGACUAUUACCUAGGCGAUGAGUUCUUUUUGAGCUUCGCAUUAUGCGAUAACCUAAUUCAACUAAAACCAAGCAAACAUUUGAUGGAACAGAAAAUCUUAAUCGUAAUAAACACUAAUAAGUAAUUUUAGAUUAUAUUCCCAAACACUGGUACCUUGAUUGAGAUAAAAGAUAAAAGCCAAAAUUAAAGCAGAUUAAAAAAGAGAAACUUAUCACCUUGAUUAAGAAUGUGCUAAAGCAAAAUAAAUUCAUGAGGUUUUCUUGUUAAAUCCUUGUACUAUGAUUAAGCCUUGUACACAAAUAUAGUACAAAGCUUUGUGAACAAAUAUAGUGCAAAGAUACAAACGACUAAACAUUUUGCAUCAACUUUCUGUAAUACCUGUUUCAUAUAAAAACAUCCCUUGUUUCAAAUGUAAAUAAAAAUACAAAAUGAGUGACAGAUUUGAGAAUCCCAAAGAUCUUUACCUACUUUUGUCUUGAGUUAGUGACAACUUACAUAUGUGGCAUCCUAUACGUAACCUUUUUAUAUGCAACUUACAAACGACCGAGCAUAAGUCAUCUUAUGAAACAAUUUAUAGGGAUAAUUUAACACAUAGAAACACAAAUAACAAUAAUAUACCCAGUGUAGUCUCAUUAGUCAUAAGUGGAGUCUGGAGGGUAGUGUGUAUGCAGCUUAAUCCUAUCUUGUGAAGGUAGCGAGGUUGAUUCCAAUAUUCAACACACAGAAAGACGAGGGAAAUUGUAUAAUGGUGAAUCUCUUCUUAAACAUAAGAUAAGGAUAAUACAACAUAGCAACUCACAAUGGCACUAGAUUCAUUUUUUUAUGAAGUCAUAACAACAACAGAUUCAUUUGUUCCAAAUCAAUCAAAGUUCAGAUUUACUGUUCAGUAGAACCAGUCAAUGGGUUUUGCGCCAAGAGAGCCAUGACAAGAAACAUGUAUAGGGAAACACAUUUGGGGCAGAAGAAUCUAGAGUAGUUUCAUAUAGUAAAGGCAAUGAAUUAUAAGGAUCUGGAUGAGUUUUAUAAAGGACUCAUCGAGCUGCAUCUCAAUCCCAAUAGGCCAAAAUCCAUGGAAGGAUAUGAAAUUAAACAGAAAACAAUAAUUUAUGUCAAUAUUUCCUAGCUCUUGUGGACAUUCUCAUAAGAAAUAUUCCCCCAAAUCUCAACAACAUACCCAGUGUAUUCCCACAUAGUGGAGUCUGGGGAGGGUAGAGUGUACACAGACCAUACCACUACCUCAAGUGAAGUAGAGAGGUUGUUUCCGAUAGAAUUCCCCCAAAUCUCAAAAACAGAAAUAUUCUUGUGGUAGAAAUGAACUCCUACAGGUCCUAGACCCCUCCGUCCCCUUGGACCAACAAGAGGUAGUACAAGAAUGUUCCUGAGGUUUUACCCCAAAUGUUCUGUUAGUGUACAUGUACACGAAGACAAGAGGAGAGACAUUGGAUUAUUACGUAUUUACUUCAGGGGAGAUUGCUUUCAAAAUUGGUAAGUUAUUAUUGACAGAUCCCUAAAAUCUAUGGUCUUGCAUUGAAACAAUUGCUAGAUAAUUCUUAAAGUUAUGAGAAGAUAUCAUCACUUACCUUGAAUCUCCCACAUGUGCCCUCGAUUUGCAAAAGAUUGUUCUAGACAAUUCAAAAUAUGAACAACACCUUUCAAGAAAUAGUCAUCAAUUUUUAGGUUAACAAAAUGCUAAAUCAAGCAAAGUAGAGAAAAAUAGAAAGUGGCCAAAGACGAAAUAGCAAAUUCUAUGUUUUUGCAUUCAUGCAUAGGCUAAUCGUGUAGUACAAACAUUUAGUGUAAGAUUUAUAACUCAUCUCUCAUCAUGCGUAUCACUAGACUUGCAACAUAUGUUAAUAUAUUAAUCUCAAACCACAAACAGAUAACAGAAGAUGGAACAUAUACUCACUGGAACUAAAACUAUAACUGAGUAAAGACUAUUUUCAGCAGAAUAUGUAACUUGAUGUAGUGUUCCCUUCAAUGGUAUCUGAAACCUCAGUCAAAAAAUAAACGAGAAGGCACAUAAAGAAAAUGUUAAAAUUCAGAUAUCCAUUGGGAGAAAUAAACAUCAAACUUUCUGUACUAAUGAUUUUGUACUCUAAUUAAUUGGAAAACGUUAGUAGAACUUAAUAUGCACUAGUUUAAUUAUCUUUGCAGGGAACACUCUUCAUGUUAUUGAAAAAGCUAAACACCAUGUCAUACUUAUAAUAGGAUAAUUCACAUCCCUUGACCAGUACUUCAAUUGCUUUAGAUGCAAUUGUCCCUAGCUUUGAAAUUUAUACUAAUAAUAUAAUCCCCUAUAAUUAAUCAACUAGAUAGCCACUGUCAACUUCCUUAGUAAUCACUUUCAUCAAUCAAUUAGCUAACAAUUAUACAAUCAUAUCAUCUUUGUUGAAGCUCUCAUAGGAUAUGCCAAAAUUUCUAACCUCCGUCCACAACUGGAUAUCCAUAAAUAUAAUUGACAUAAGCACAUAUUGUGAUGUCUUAAUGUUUACUAGUGCUGACCUAUAGUUUCUUCUUCCCCACUAGAUUCUUUGUGCUUCAGGGAAUUGUGGGUUAACAAACUAUAAGCCUCCAAAGUAGUAACAAAAACAAAAUAAUCGAUCCAUAAACUACAAUACGGUAAAUAAAUUGUUAAGUCAGUAAUCAAAGUGAAGCAGUGGAGAGCUGAAAUUUGGUAAAAAAAUACCUUAAAAUCACCAAAUUAAAAGAAAAAAACAAAUUUGCUAGAAAAUUGAAGUGCAAAUUUGAGAGUUCAAAUUGAAGUGGUUGUCAGAGCAAUGGAGAAGCUGAUCUGUGAUCCGAGCAUGCACUGAUGGUCGAUUUGUCAUCGAAACAUGCACUGGUGGUUGAUUUGUGGUCGGAGCACGCACUAGUGGUCGAUUUGUGGUCGGAGAAUGCAAUGGUGGUCGAGUUUGAGGCCGGAGCAUAGUACGGUGGCAAUUGUGGUCGGAGAGUAUUAUCGAUAGCGAUUGUGAUAUAGUACUGGCGGUGAUAGUGGUGUAAUACUGCUGGAGAUUGUGGUGUAGUACUGGUGGAAAAUUUUACUUGAUCGGAGAGUCUUGGUGGAGUAGCGUAGUACAACUAGUUCCACUGAGAUUUUGCUUAUAUAUUUAUCUAAUCUUUUC